CUUGGUCAUUUAGAGGAAGUAAAAGUCGUAACAAGGUCUCCGUAGGUGAACCUGCGGAGGGAUCAUUACACAAAUAUGAAGGCGGGCUGGAACCUCUCGGGGUUACAGCCUUGCUGAAUUAUUCACCCUUGUCUUUUGCGUACUUCUUGUUUCCUUGGUGGGUUCGCCCACCACUAGGACAAACAUAAACCUUUUGUAAUUGCAAUCAGCGUCAGUAACAAAUUAAUAAUUACAACUUUCAACAACGGAUCUCUUGGUUCUGGCAUCGAUGAAGAACGCAGCGAAAUGCGAUAAGUAGUGUGAAUUGCAGAAUUCAGUGAAUCAUCGAAUCUUUGAACGCACAUUGCGCCCCUUGGUAUUCCAUGGGGCAUGCCUGUUCGAGCGUCAUUUGUACCUUCAAGCUCUGCUUGGUGUUGGGUGUUUGUCCCGCCUCUGCGCGUGGACUCGCCUUAAAGCAAUUGGCAGCCGGCGUAUAGAUUUCGGAGCGCAGCACAAAACGCGCUUUGUUAGCAAUACGGUGGCAUCCAUCAAGACUUUUUUUAACUCUUGACCUCGGAUCAGGUAGGGAUACCCGCUGAACUUAAGCAUAUCAAUAAGCGGAGGA
rnacentral:rRNA from 1 species